AAGGAGAUAGCUCAAUUGGUAGAGCGCUGCUGGAAUGCAGAGGCUGCGGGUUCGAUUCCCGUUCUCUUUC
rnacentral:tRNA from 1 species